rnacentral:rRNA from 1 species
GACGAACGCUGGCGGCGUGCCUAACACAUGCAAGUCGAGCGGGGAUUUAAGUGGAAGUUCUUCGGAAUGGAGAUUUAAAUUCUAGCGGCGGACGGGUGAGUAACGCGUGAACAAUCUGUCCCGGACAGGGGGAUAACACUUGGAAACAGGUGCUAAUACCGCAUAAGACCACGGCCUCGCAUGGGGCUGAGGUAAAAGGAGCAAUCCGGUUCGGGGUGAGUUCGCGUCCGAUGAGCUAGUUGGUGAGGUAACGGCCCACCAAGGCGACGAUCGGUAGCCGGCGUGAGGGGGUGAGCGGCCACAGGGGAAGUGAGAGGCGGUCGACACUCCUACGGGGGGCAGCAGUGGAGAAUAGUGGGCAAUGGGCGAAAGCCUGACCGAGCAGCGCCGCGUGAGGGAAGAAGGUUUGCGGAGUGAAAACCUCUGUCCUAUGGGACGAAGGAAGUGACGGUACCAGAGGAGGAAGCCCCGGCUAACUACGUG